CCUACGGGUGGCAGCAGUGGGGAAUAUUGGACAAUGGGCGAAAGCCUGAUCCAGCCAUGCCGCGUGUGUGAAGAAGGCCUUCGGGUUGUAAAGCACUUUCAGUGGGGAAGAAAGCCUUGGGGCUAAUACCCUCGAGGAAGGACAUCACCCACAGAAGAAGCACCGGCUAACUCCGUGCCAGCAGCCGCGGUAAUACGGAGGGUGCGAGCGUUAAUCGGAAUUACUGGGCGUAAAGCGCGCGUAGGCGGUCUGAUAAGCCGGUUGUGAAAGCCCCGGGCUCAACCUGGGAACGGCAUCCGGAACUGUCAGGCUAGAGUGCAGGAGAGGAAGGUAGAAUUCCCGGUGUAGCGGUGAAAUGCGUAGAGAUCGGGAGGAAUACCAGUGGCGAAGGCGGCCUUCUGGACUGACACUGACGCUGAGGUGCGAAAGCGUGGGGAGCAAACAGGAUUAGAUACCCCAGUAGUC
rnacentral:rRNA from 1 species